CAGGCCUAACACAUGCAAGUCGAACGGGCACCUUCGGGUGUCAGUGGCAGACGGGUGAGUAACACGUGGGAACGUACCCUUCGGUUCGGAACAACUCAGGGAAACUUGAGCUAAUACCGGAUACGCCCUUACGGGGAAAGAUUUAUUGCCGAAGGAUCGGCCCGCGUCUGAUUAGCUUGUUGGUGAGGUAACGGCUCACCAAGGCGACGAUCAGUAGCUGGUCUGAGAGGAUGAUCAGCCACACUGGGACUGAGACACGGCCCAGACUCCUACGGGAGGCAGCAGUGGGGAAUAUUGGACAAUGGGCGAAAGCCUGAUCCAGCCAUGCCGCGUGAGUGAUGAAGGCCUUAGGGUUGUAAAGCUCUCUUAUCCGGGAAGAUAAUGACUGUACCGGAAGAAUAAGCCCCGGCUAACUUCGUGCCAGCAGCCGCGGUAAU
rnacentral:rRNA from 1 species